rnacentral:tRNA from 1 species
AGGUAGGUAAUUUAAUUAAAAAUAUAAAGAUUGCAAAUCUUUACUUGGGCGAACCCUCUACCUU